rnacentral:snoRNA from 1 species
ACUGCCCCUCGAGGCGUUGCAGGUGUGGCUGCUGUGUCACAUCUCCGUCACUAGGUGGCAGAGAGAAUCGAGGCUAUGUCUACCCUCAGGGUUCCGACCCUUGAACGCCUGACACGGACAGAGCCAUUGCAG